rnacentral:rRNA from 1 species
CGGGGUGCACCAGGCGCGAAAACUUUACAAUGCUGGCAACAGCGAUAAGGGGACCUCGAGUGCCAGGAUACAAUCUUGGCUGUCGCGAUGCCUAAAAAGCAUUGCAUAGCAAGGGCCGGGCAAGACCGGUGCCAGCCGCCGCGGUAACACCGGCGGCUCGAGUGGUAACCGCUAUUAUUGGGUCUAAAGGGUCUGUAGCCGGCCGGAUAAGUCUUUUGGGAAAUCCAGCUGCUCAACAGUUGGGCUUUCAGAAGAUACUGUUCGGCUCGAGACCGGGAGAGGUGAGAGGUACUUCAGGGGUAGGGGUGAAAUCUUGUAAUCCUUGAAGGACCACCAGUGGCGAAGGCGUCUCACCAGAACGGAUCUGACGGCAAGGGACGAAAGCUAGGGGCACGAACCGGAUUAGAUACCCGGGUAGUCCUAGCCGUAAACGAUACUCGCUAGGUGUCAGCCACGGUGCGACCGUGGUUGGUGCCGUAGGGAAGCCGUGAAGCGAGCCACCUGGGAAGUACGGCCGCAAGGCUGAAACUUAAAGGAAUUGGCGGGGGAGCACAAG